GUGGUUUAAUUCGAUGCAACGCGAAGAACCUUACCUGGUCUUGACAUCCACGGAAGUUUUCAGAGAUGAGAAUGUGCCUUCGGGAACCGUGAGACAGGUGCUGCAUGGCUGUCGUCAGCUCGUGUUGUGAAAUGUUGGGUUAAGUCCCGCAACGAGCGCAACCCUUAUCCUUUGUUGCCAGCGGUCCGGCCGGGAACUCAAAGGAGACUGCCAGUGAUAAACUGGAGGAAGGUGGGGAUGACGUCAAGUCAUCAUGGCCCUUACGACCAGGGCUACACACGUGCUACAAUGGCGCAUACAAAGAGAAGCGACCUCGCGAGAGCAAGCGGACCUCAUAAAGUGCGUCGUAGUCCGGAUUGGAGUCUGCAACUCGACUCCAUGAAGUCGGAAUCGCUAGUAAUCGUGGAUCAGAAUGCCACGGUGAAUACGUUCCCGGGCCUUGUACACACCGCCCGUCACACCAUGGGAGUGGGUUGCAAAAGAAGUAGGUAGCUUAACCUUCGGGAGGGCGCUUACCACUUUGUGAUUCAUGACUGGGGUGAAGUCGUAACAAGGUAACCGUAGGGGAACCUGCGGUUGGAUCAC
rnacentral:rRNA from 1 species